CAGGUUUUAUGAAGCUGGUCCCUUCACUUGAAAUGCUUGUUUUUGGGAUCCAGUAGCCCAUUGAAAGACCCAUGUGGAUAGGAGUCGAAACACAGAUUAUGACCAUAAACCAGACCAGGAGAUGUUUGGAAUUUGAUGAUGAUGAUGACUGCAUAGCCCUGGGAACACAGCAAAGUCCACCAAAUUAUACUUUAGAUGGCAGCUGAAUUGGAGUCUCGUUUUCUUGGGGGUGCACCGUCUCCAUUCCCCAGAAGCUAUGGGGUCACAGGUGACUUGGCUGGGCAUGCUCUUAUGCAAAACCUUUGAGGACCUAGCACUAUUCACACUGCUUCCAGGGAAACCUGUUUCAGGGUGUGCAUUUCCUCUUCUCAGGGCGUUUGCACACACUUCUACUCCAACUGUGUACCACCCUCCCUACCCUGCCUGGCUGGUUAAUUCUUAGUUGUCUUCCGGCUUCAGGUAAACCAUCAGUUUCCUCAGAAAAUGUGUUCCAACUUUGUCAUGUCAUUUGUACCCCUGCCAGCUCUCCUCUCAUAUUGUGUAUCACUCUGUCACCUCCCUUCUGUCAAGGCAGUGUCUUCUACCACCGGGUCCCUGUCCUCACAGUCCCUCUACACUGAGUCUUGCUGAAUGUCACUCCUUCUCUUCCUAAAAUUUCCCUGUUUUCUUUCUCUUCUAUUCUUUCAUCUUGUCUUUAAUGAAAGUUAUUAGAAUUGAAAUGGAAUCAUCCUUGUUAUGAAAGACUUAAAAAUUAGCAAAGAAAUAUAGCCCAGAUAAGGAAACUCUCCAAACAGAAUGUAGGGCAGCCUAACCCAGAAACUAACUAAGGCCACUACUAUGACUUAGUGCCUGGAAUUUACCAGCCACCAGCAAUUACUCCCUUACAAGGUCAUAAGAUAACUGGUUACCAAGAAUUCCCAGAUGGCCACCCUCCCCGAGAGGCUCAUGAAGGAAACAGAUUGUCCCACCGACCAGUGUGUCAAUAAUCAACAAUUAAGGGUCCCUAUGAAACAAAGAGAUAGCUAUCAUUUGCUCAGGAAAGAUUAGUUAGCACAUCCUGAGGUCUGCAGGUUUUACAGAUGGUCAGGAGGCCAUCUGAUUCCCAGCCCUCCCCUCAAGACAAAGGACCUCCUAGGAACCCAUGACUCUGGUCACGUACUCAAGGGACAGAGAGGCGAGGCCCUUCCCUAAGCUUGUAGUUUUUGCCUUUAAAAACACCUGUGCCUGGGGGACGGUGCUGCUCUCUAGCCUGCAUGCUGAGAGAGCCUGUUUGUACAAAUGUCCACCUUCCAUUAAAGCCUCUUGCUGUUUGCAUCAAGUUUCG
rnacentral:lncRNA from 1 species